CCCUUAGAUGUCCUGGGCCGCACGCGCGCUACACUGAGUGUCUGAGAUACGAGUCUGCCUGGUCCGGCAAGGUCUAGGUAAUCGCUAAAAGACACAUCAUGCUUGGGAUAGAUUAUUGCAAAUAUUAAUCUUGAACGAGGAAUUCCUAGUAAGCGCAAGUCAACAGCUUGCGUUGAUUACGUCCCUGCCCUUUGUACACACCGCCCGUCGCUACUACUGAUUGGAUGUUUAAGCGAGGUUCUCGAACUGCUAGCGACUUAGCUUCGGUGAGGUCGCAGUGUGGGAAGUGAACCUAGCUUUGGUGUCUAGAGGAAGUAAAAGUCGGAACA
rnacentral:rRNA from 1 species